GAUGAAGAACGCAGCAAAAUGCGAUAAGUAAUGUGAAUUGCAGAAUUCAGUGAAUCAUCGAAUCUUUGAACGCUCAUUGCGCCCGCCAGUAUUCUGGCGGGCAUGCCUGUUCGAGCGUCAUUUCAACCCUCAAGCUCAGCUUGGUGUUGGGACUCGCGGUAACCCGCGUUCCCCAAAUCGAUUGGCGGUCACGUCGAGCUUCCAUAGCGUAGUAAUCAUACACCUCGUUACUGGUAAUCGUCGCGGCCACGCCGUAAAACCCCAACUUCUGAAUGUUGACCUCGGAUCAGGUAGGAAUACCCGCUGAACUUAAGCAUAUCAAUAAGCGGAGGA
rnacentral:misc_RNA from 1 species